rnacentral:rRNA from 1 species
ACGCACGCUGGCGGCGUGCUUAACACCUGCCAGUCGAACGGAAAGGCCCUGCUUUUGUGGGGUGCUCGAGUGGCGAACGGGUGAGUAACACGUGAGUAACCUGCCCUUGACUUUGGGAUAACUUCAGGAAACUGGGGCUAAUACCGGAUAGGAGCUCCUGCUGCAUGGUGGGGGUUGGAAAGUUUCGGCGGUUGGGGAUGGACUCGCGGCUUAUCAGCUUGUUGGUGGGGUAGUGGCUUACCAAGGCUUUGACGGGUAGCCGGCCUGAGAGGGUGACCGGCCACAUUGGGACUGAGAUACGGCCCAGACUCCUACGGGAGGCAGCAGUGGGGAAUAUUGCACAAUGGGCGGAAGCCUGAUGCAGCAACGCCGCGUGCGGGAUGACGGCCUUCGGGUUGUAAACCGCUUUCGCCUGUGACGAAGCGUGAGUGACAGUAAUGGGUAAAGAAGCACCGGCUAACUACGUG